rnacentral:lncRNA from 1 species
AAUCAAAUGAGAUAAAUAGCAGAAAUAGCAGAGAAGGGAUGAAAACUGAGAUUAUGAUAAACUGCUAAAUAUCAGUUAAUAAACCCACUUAUUUUAAGAAUUAUAAAUAGGUGUCAACCCACACAAGAGGUUGCAGUGAGCUGAGACUGUGCCAUUUCACUCCAGCCUGGACAACAAGAGCGAAACUCAGUCUCAUUGUUACAGCAUCCUGAAUGGACUAGGACAUCUAUACAGUCAUUCGUGCGACAAAUACUUCCAGUGUACCCACCAUGGAUCAGGCAAGAAUCUAAACCCUCCCUUUCCUAAAGCUUCAGCCCACUGCCUUUCUUCGCACAUGACUCCUUAUGAAGUCUGCUCU